rnacentral:rRNA from 1 species
GAUGAGCUUGCGGUCCAUUAGCUUGUUGGUAAGGUAAAGGCUUACCAAGGCGACGAUGGAUAGCCGGCCUGAGAGGGUGAUCGGCCACAUUGGGACUGAGAUACGGCCCAGACUCCUACGGGAGGCAGCAGCUAAGAAUCUUCCGCAAUGGGCGCAAGCCUGACGGAGCGACACCACGUGAGCGAUGAAGGCAUUCUGUUGUAAAGCUCUUUUCUAUGGGAAGAAUAAUAUCUGGAGGAAAUGCCAGGUAGAUGACGGUACCAUAGGAAUAAGCCCCGGCUAAUUACGUGCCAGCAGCCGCGGUAAUACGUAAGGGGCAAGCGUUGUUCGGAAUCACUGGGCGUAAAGGGCGUGUAGGCGGCUAGGUAAGUGUGAUUUGAAAUCUUCAGGCUCAACCUGGAAAUUGGAUUGCAAACUGUCUAGCUAGAGUACGGGAAGGGAGACUGGAAUUCCUAGUGUAGGGGUGAAAUCCGUAGAUAUUAGGAAGAACACCGGUGGCGAAGGCGAGUCUCUGGCCUGAUACUGACGCUGAGGCGCGAAAGCAUGGGGAGCGAACAGGAUUAGAUACCCUGGUAGUCCAUGCCCUAAACGUUGUGCACUAGGUGCGGGAAGCACUGAAGCUUUUCGUACCGUAGCUAACGUGUUAAGUGCACCGCCUGGGGAGUAUGCUCGCAAGGGUGAAACUCAAAGGAAUUGACGGGGGCCCGCACAAGCGGUGGAUCAUGUGGUUUAAUUCGACGAUAAGCGAGAAACCUCACCUAGACUUGACAUCUCGAGAAGGUUCUGGAAACAGAACUGUGCCGCAAGGAACUCGAUGACAGGUGCUGCAUGGUUGUCGUCAGCUCGUGCCCUGAGGUGUUCGGUUAAGUCCGUAAACGAGCGCAACCCUUGUCAUAUGUUGUAUUUCUCAUAUGAAACUGCCGGCUCCAAGCCGGAGGAAGGUAGGGAUGACGUCAAAUCAGCAUGGCCCUUAUGUCUAGGGCUACACACGUGAUACAAUGGGUCGUACAAUGGGUAGCCAAGGGGCAAUCCGGAGCCAAUCCCUAAAACGAUCCUCAGUUCGGAUUGAGGUCUGCAACUCGACCUCAUGAAGUUGGAAUCGCUAGUAACCGUGGAUCACAACGCCACGGUGAUAUGUUCCCGGGUCUUGUACUCACCGCCCGUCACAUCACGGAAGGUGGAAGCA